rfam:Apaloderma vittatum contig31300, whole genome shotgun sequence.
GGACGGUUAGCUCAGUUGGUUAGACCGUGGUGCUGAUAACACCAAGGUCACGGGUUCAAUCCCUGUUCGGUCCC